UAUGGCUGCGCCGCACUGCUGCAUCUGAUUCUCCUGAAGAAAAAAAAACCGAUGUAAAGCGACCGAUGUCCACGGCGACACGCUAUUGUAAAGAUGACGUUUAUUAAAGAGGAGAGUGAAGAUGUGAAGAUCAAAGAAACGUUUGGAAUAAAACACGAAGAGAUUACGGAACCAGCAGAAUUUUGCUGCACUGCUUGAUGUGGCCGUGGGACAGGCAGCGACAAACUGUUUGAGGACCUUAGGGGCCUAGAACAUUUGCAGUGGACAAGAAGAUCAGAGAAGUACUGUGGAGCCUGGCUAUUUAGCCCCAUAUACACUUGCAAUGAAACCAAGUCAAACACAGUAUUCAACCGGCAGCCAAUGAAGAGAAGCUGGAACGGGUGUAUAUCGCCGCGUUCUUGCGAGGCACAUCAGAUCUCGCUUGUGCCACAAAAUCUUGUCACAACGAAUUUGAUGAAGUUUGUGCAAAAAUGGAUUUGAGGUUUCAAUGCGAGGCUGGGCAACUCUGGGUCACUGUCUGCAGAGACCAAACUUGGUAUAUUAUGAAAAGCAUGAAAGCAUGAGGGUACAGCACCACCUACUGGUCAAAAGAUAUAUAAAAUGUACAUUUCCGUUCAUAACCUCUGACCAGUCUGGCUAAAAAUCAUAAGAUCGGCCAUGUAGAUAUGAAAUGGUAUACUGAAUUGAACGAUACCUAAUUUUCCAAAUUGUGAGUUUAUAGUAAAAUAUCCGUCAACAAAUGUUUCUCGGGGGGCCUCCUGCUCAUGGAGAGCUGUAGAGUUCAGCUUCAGACACAAUCCAGUAUAUCUGAGCCAGAUAAUCAAGAUAUUCAGGGCUGCUUAAUUACUAACAGGUGUGUUGAAGCAGGGUUGAAACGUAAAGGUGCUGUAUGUAUGAUUGACACCCAGUGGUUGAACUAGAUAUUGCAGUCCAAACCUAAAAUAUUAUUUUUUUUACCCAGCCCCUGCUAUUUAGUCUUGACGCACCCGCAUGUUGCCAGAUUCCCGCUCAGACCCAUUUCGUUUGCCAGCUUCCAUGACUGAAAUGAAAUUUCAGGUCUGUUAUCUGCCAACUGCCAACCCGUGGUUACGAAACAACUUAGCAUACACCUGCAAACUGUGUGGGAAGACCUUCUCGCAAAGAGGAAAUCUGAAGACUUCACACCGGAGAGAGGCCAUUCAUUUGUUCAUUUGUGGCCAGUGUGGAAAAAGGUUCAGAGGUAAAGUUAACCUCAAUUACCACAUAAGGAUUCACUCAAGACAGAACCGUUUUCAGUGUGGGAGAAGUUUCGCAGACAGGAAACACUUUAAGAAACACGCGAUGACUUGCACUGUAGACAAGUUCUCAUGUCCUCAGUGUAAAAAGAGUUUUGCGUAUCAAUAAGACCUGAGACAUGGAAAGAAAGUGCAGUAUUCAGGCAUUUUUUUUUAAAAAAUUAGUGAUUUCAAAAACGUAAAAAUACACAUAAAAAGUCACGCAGAUGUGAGACGUUAUUUGUGUUCUUUGUGUGGGAAGAGUUUUAAAUGGCUCAGCAAUUUGAAAUGGCACCAGAAAACGCGUAUCUGUGCGAAAUUAAGACUUCGGUAAGACUGCAGCUGAUUGACCACCUUCACGAUCAUUUGCAUCAUUCACCUCCGUAUACUAAAAGAGACUUUUUAUUUUUAUGUUGUAUAUACAUAUAAGGUACAAAUUGUAUGGUGGCGAUGGUUCAUUACAUCUAUCGAAACCUUAAAAUCAAAGUUAAAAGGCUUAUCGGAUGCCCAUUUUCCACAAAUUGAUAUGAUUCUUUGUGGUCUUAAUGAAAAGUCUAUAACAUUGGUAACUUGGUUAAAAUUUGGAUUUACUGACAAGAUGCGCAUGAAUAUAUCGAUCGCUAUAUCUCGCCCAGCCUUUAAGAUGGAAAUAAAGAACGAAUGCUGUAAUUCUUGACCUCGAGAUCCACUUUCCUGCAGAAUUUAACUCCAAUCCUAAUCGAAUGCACAUGAACAAACUAAUCAAGAUCUUCAGGAUUACUACAGUUGCAGGUAGGUUUGUUUAAUCCAGGUUGGAGAUAAUCUCUGAAGUAAAGUGGAUUGGUUCUUGUGGAAGUGGAAGACCCCUGCUGUAACUUUAAGGGCUACUGUACAAACGUGACAACAACUUCCAUGUAAGGGG